UACGGAGGGGGCUAGCGUUGUUCGGAAUUAUUGGGCGUAAAGAGCUCGUAGGCGGCCUGUUGCGUCCGCUGUGAAAGCCCGGGGCUUAACCCCGGGUCUGCAGUGGAUACGGGCAGGCUAGAGGUAGGUAGGGGAGAAUGGAAUUCCCGGUGUAGCGGUGAAAUGCGCAGAUAUCGGGAGGAACACCGGUGGCGAAGGCGGUUCUCUGGGCCUUACCUGACGCUGAGGAGCGAAAGCGUGGGGAGCGAACAGG
rnacentral:rRNA from 1 species